GUUAACUAUCAAUUAAUUUCCUCUUCAUUGAUUCCAACCGCGCAAGGAUGUCAUCAGGAUGUUAAUCCCAUAAUGAUGGAGUUGCAUCGCAUGUAGAGAUCUUACCUUUUACAGUGGUGACCUGACUGUUAGUAAUGGAAUCACAGUCCAUCUCCAUCAGUGAGCGCAGGAAGUUGGAGUCUGACAUCAUCCCCUUUGCUGAAAGCCAGCUAAUGUCUUUGUAGCCACGCAACACCAGUAUACCCUCACAAACCACCUGCACCUGUUUGGGUGGCUUGGCAAAGGAUCUACAGAUUUCAGAAAAAGAGAUACUGAUCAGCUGGCUAUUUGUUUAAAUGUGUUGAAUCUUUAGCUCAAAUGAGACACAAUAUUGAUCAACUGCUUGCACAUACAGAUUUCUACUACAGUUUAGUAUGCUUUGUCUCAAAUAUGGACAGUCUUAGUACAUUCAUUCACUGUCAGAACCAUAUUCAAGACUUGCAUCCCUUGAAUAAAUGAAAAUUACUCAUUUUACCGGAUCUCUGUUACAUCAGAUUUGUCUAGGUCCUGCAGGGCAUGGCGGGCACCUUCUAAGACUGGGAGAGCUUCAGCCAAGGAACUUUCUGCUUCUUUCUUCUCAACUGAAAUAACCUUGUUCUGCUCCUCAAUCUCUUUCGCUUUAUCUUCUGCCAAAACCUUUUUUUCCUCCGCUUUAGGGAGAAAGUGUUUCUUAGGUUAGUGCUCAUUAUGAGAAGCUCAUAGAUUACGCCUUUUAUAUAACUUCCCAAGUUUGGAAAACAGCGAUUCACUCACCUAUGGUUGUGUUUGUGGCAAUUUCCUCUAGUAAGGCCUCACAGGCUAUUGACUUUUCACCAAGGACGAUUUUUUGUUCUGCUAGCUUGGCAUUAAGUACAUCCAGUUGUUCACUGGCCUCUUUGAUUUUAUCCACUCCUCCUUCUAGAUGCUUGCACUGGCCUGGACAGGAAGAGAAUCACACAAAACAAGGAUCUUCAAAAUUUUAUCAUGUUUGCACCUUAUCAAAAAAGACAGACAGGAUGGGAGUGUUUCCUUUCUUACCCAGGAUGUACUUGUCCUUUUCUUCCAACAGUAACAACAACAACCACCUCACAUCCAGCAGUGAAGGCAGCAAGCCUGGUGAGGGACUGCUUGCCAGAGCCACCCACACCAACGAGCAGAGCGUGGGCACGAUCAAUGCGGAGGAUCCGAUGCACUCUGGUCAGAUGUUCCAGAGCAUCAUCGAAUAACACAAGGUUCAUUCUUGGCUUGUUC
rnacentral:lncRNA from 1 species